rnacentral:rRNA from 1 species
UACGGAGGGUGCGAGCGUUGUCCGGGAAUCAUUGGGCGUAAAGGGCGCGUAGGUGGCCGAGUAAGCGUGCGGUGAAAGCUCGGGGCUCAACCCCGAGUCGGCCGUGCGAACUACUCAGCUCGAGCACUGUAGAGGCAGGCGGAAUUCCGGGUGUAGCGGUGAAAUGCGCAGAUAUCAGGAGGAACACCCAUUGCGAAGGCAGCUCGCUGGGACGUUACUGACGCUGAGGAGCGAAAGCCAGGGGAGCAAACGGG